UACGAAGGGUGCAAGCGUUAAUCGGAAUUACUGGGCGUAAAGGGCGUGUAGGUGGUUUCGUAAGUCUGGCGUGAAAUAUCUCGGCUUAACCGAGGCAGGUCGUCGGAUACUGCGGAACUGGAGGACGGUAGAGGCGUGUGGAAUUCCGGGUGUAGUGGUGAAAUGCGUAGAGAUCCGGAGGAACACCAGUGGCGAAGGCGACACGCUGGGCCGUACCUGACACUGAUGCGCGACAGCAUGGGGAGCAAACAGG
rnacentral:rRNA from 1 species